UACGUAGGGGGCAAGCGUUGUCCGGAAUCAUUGGGCGUAAAGCGCGUGUAGGCGGUUCAGUAAGUCUGCUGUGAAAGUCCAGGGCUCAACCCUGGGAUGCCGGUGGAUACUGCUGGGCUAGAGUACGGAAGAGGCGAGUGGAAUUCCCGGUGUAGCGGUGAGAUGCGCAGAUAUCAGGAGGAACACCUAUUGCGAAGGCAGCUCGCUGGGACGUUACUGACGCUGAGACGCGAAAGCGUGGGGAGCAAACAGG
rnacentral:rRNA from 1 species